rnacentral:rRNA from 1 species
UACGUAGGGCGCAAGCGUUGUCCGGAAUUAUUGGGCGUAAAGAGCUCGUAGGCGGCUUGUCACGUCGGGUGUGAAAGCCCGGGGCUUAACCCCGGGUCUGCAUUCGAUACGGGCUAGCUAGAGUGUGGUAGGGGAGAUCGGAAUUCCUGGUGUAGCGGUGAAAUGCGCAGAUAUCAGGAGGAACACCGGUGGCGAAGGCGGGUCUCUGGGCCGAUACUGACGCUGAGGAGCGAAAGCAUGGGGAGCGAACAGG